GUGACCUUCUUUUUUCCGCCUAAGAUAAAGAAUAUUGGUAAUUAGUAGUAGACUUGCCUGUGUAGUUUGUUGGUAAUUAAGACGCAGUCGAGCCUGUUUAUGUUCGAUGCCUAAAAUACAGAAUAUUGGUAAUUAGAGUUUGGCUUGUUUCUUCAUCAGAUUUUACUAUCAACUGGUUGUACGAUAGAAUUGAAAUGGUUUGCAGACUGUGUUUGUUGGAUGAUUUUUUUUUUUUAGUCAAAGCAGCGUCCUUUUAUUGACGAAGGUUAAAUGGGCAAAAUUUAAGGAAGAGCUUCCUCGUGAUUUUGAGGGGUUGACAUUCCAACCUUUAUCCUCUAUGCAUCCUAACUGUACCAAAGAAUCAAUGCUACAUCUAUACAUUAUGGGGGUUGAAAUUGAAUUUCCCUAGCUUUCAAUGUUCUAAUUCUAAAGGAUGCCAUCUCCCAUUUAUCAAGUUGGAUAAGUCCUCUAACUAGUCUUAGGAGCCUUUCACAGCUGGUUAUACGGGACGCCUUUUGUGCGUAUGACUAAGAGCUUCCAAUUUAUCUGCUACUUUGUUUGCUUCAAGAAAACAAUGCUGCGCGACAAACUCUUUCUGCUCGAUUACCUGUUUGAUGGUGUCCACUGCUUGGAUCAUCCUCUGUGGCGUCGUGGUCUUUCUAUUCAUACAUGAUGUUAGUAUUUGCGAAUCUGUCUCUACCUGGAUAUUGUCAAGGUCAUUUGCUUCACACAAUUGCAAUCCAAAGAGCAUAGCUUGGCUCUCCGCCCAGUUGUUUGUACCAUGUCCGAGAUAAACUAAGAAGGCCAAUACAAAUUUCCCCCUACUAUCUGCUAUGCCAAAGGUUAAACGUUUCCGAAAUCCAUUAAAAUCAGCUCAUGGACCAUAUGAUGCUCCUGGACGUUCUUCAUCAUCAACAACUCCAGCCCCGUCACUUGUUAUAGAGCCCUCAACAUCGUUACAAGCUCCUUCACAUGCUCCUGCAAGUUCCUCAGUAGCUGAUGAAGUCCCACAACAAGAACAAGCUCCAACACAGCCUUCAAAUCCAAGUGCAAUGUCAACACGCCAUCCUGGACGUGAAUCUACACAAUAUUGGAAAGUAGAGGCAAUAGACUCAAACAACACUACCAAGCACAUCAAGAUCAAGGUCAAUGAGGUCAACAACCUACCUAUCGGAGAACGCAUCAUUGUGGACUUUGAAAUCUACGAUGCAGCAUAUGGGGGAUAUUGUGGAUUACUGGCUAUUGAUGGCAAUUUCUUCCCAAUUAAUUUUGACAGGUGGUCAGGACCGUCUGGUAUUCCUAAAAAAUACAAGGAAGACUGCUUUGAAACCAUGCUAAAGCCUCGGUUUUUUUUAGGACUACUAAUGCCAUUGCAUACAGAUAUUGCAAUGCUAGUUUGAAUAAGAAGUGGGCUACACAUAGACAUAGGUUGUGGGAUGAAUUUUAUGACCCGGCCAAAAGCAGAACUGAACUUUUAAGCAAUGUGCCACCGGGCAUAAGUAGAGACCAGUGGGCUGGUUUUAUUGCUUAUCGUCUAAAAUCAUCAACAAUUUUGUAGAAGAAAUAAAGAAAUUCGACGCAAGCAAACAAUGCCUCACACUGGCGGAUCCAAAGUUAACUCGAGACGACGACAUGAGUUGUUUUUGGAAACUGGGGAAUAUCCUACUCGGGGAAAGAUGUUUAUCGAAACUCAUAAGAGAAAUGAUGGAUCAUUUGUAAAUGAUGAGGCAAGAACUAUAGUGGUACAUUCAGCUUUGGAACAAAUUGAAUCGACUCAAGGCAAUACCAAUAAUUCUGAAAUUUCCCCAGAUAGAUAUUAUUGGCAAGGUGUUAGGGGCAGAGCAUUCUGGGAGGGUACGAUGUAUGGGUAUGGGAGCAGCUCCUUCAAAUACAUUCAAGAAUAUCAAGCAACGACUUAAUGCGCUGAACCAUUCUUCAUCUAGCUUCGGUGCAUCGUCUGCAACUUUCACCUAUUUGCAACAAGAGGUCACUCAUUUGAAGUCCCAAUUAGCAGACACCUUAACUACACUGAAAGCUUACAUUAUAUCAAAGGAAGGAAGAGUUCCUGAGGAAUUUGCUGGUCUGUUUGCUCCUCAACCACAACCUAGUGAUGAUGCAGAGAGUGAACCUACCUCGCCGGUGGAUGUAAGAGGAUCAUCGGGCAGCAGCUACCAGAAUCACCAAGCAAAUACUUAGAAUGUUAUUUAUAUAAUGUGGUACCAUUGGUGCUUUUAUGGAUUUUAAGUAGUAAUGUUUAGGAGCUACUUUAGUAUGAUUUGUAGUACUUGAAUUAGUGAUUGCUGCUAUUGUGGAUGUUUAAUGAAAUUUGAUUUCUGUUAUA